AGAGUUUGAUCCUGGCUCAGAUUGAACGCUGGCGGCAGGCUUAACACAUGCAAGUCGAGCGGGGAAGGGUAGCUUGCUACCUAACCUAGCGGCGGACGGGUGAGUAAUGCUUAGGAAUCUGCCAUUUAGUGGGGGACAACAUUCCGAAAGGAAUGCUAAUACCGCAAACGUCCUACGGGAGAAAGCAGGGGAUCUUCGGACCUUGCGCUAAAUGAUGAGCCUAAGUCGGAUUAGCUAGUUGGUGGGGUAAAGGCCUACCAAGGCGACGAUCUGUAGCGGGUCUGAGAGGAUGAUCCGCCACACUGGGACUGAGACACGGCCCAGACUCCUACGGGAGGCAGCAGUGGGGAAUAUUGGACAAUGGGCGGAAGCCUGAUCCAGCCAUGCCGCGUGUGUGAAGAAGGCCUUUUGGUUGUAAAGCACUUUAAGCGAGGAGGAGGCUACUAGUACUAAUACUACUGGAUAGUGGACGUUACUCGCAGAAUAAGCACCGGCUAACUCUGUGCCAGCAGCCGCGGUAAUACAGAGGGUACGAGCGUUAAUCGGAUUUACUGGGCGUAAAGCGUGCGUAGGCGGCUUUUUAAGUCGGAUGUGAAAUCCCCGAGCUUAACUUGGGAAUUGCAUUCGAUACUGGGAAGCUAGAGUAUGGGAGAGGAUGGUAGAAUUCCAGGUGUAGCGGUGAAAUGCGUAGAGAUCUGGAGGAAUACCGAUGGCGAAGGCAGCCAUCUGGCCUAAUACUGACGCUGAGGUACGAAAGCAUGGGGAGCAAACAGGAUUAGAUACCCUGGUAGUCCAA
rnacentral:rRNA from 1 species